CGGGCUACAAUGGGUGGGACAAUGGGUAUCGACACCGAAAGGUGAAGGCAAUCUCCUAAACCCAUCCGUAGUUCGGAUCGUGGGCUGCAACUCGCCCACAUGAAGCUGGAAUCUGUAGUAAUCGUGUCUCAAAAUGGCACGGUGAAUAUGUCCCUGCUCCUU
rnacentral:rRNA from 1 species